UGAGCCACUGGCACUAAAGUCAUCGAAGGGGAAGAAAAAUCCGGAAAAUCAAAUCUUUACUUUUGCAAUGGAGGAAGAAUACUGAAGAGUGGGUCCAACAAGGAGGAAUAUUACCCAAGGCAGCCUGAGACAACAUAGCUGUCCCCAGUUUUCAUCCUCCUAUUUGUAGGGAGUCAAAGUCAUGGUACGGAAGACAACCUUGUGCGUUCGUGGGCCAGGGAAAUGCAGAGAGGUAAGCGGUGAAGCUGAGAUCAGUUCACCUGGAAAGCAGCGUCACCACACUGGAAUUACUUUGAGGUCUUUAAAAUUAUUUUCCUCCUCCAUUUUUAUUUUAUAUUUAACUAUAUUACAUUUGGCAUAAAGUUGGCAUGGGCCA